UACGAAGGGGGCUAGCGUUGCUCGGAAUCACUGGGCGUAAAGCGCACGUAGGCGGCUUCUUAAGUCAGGGGUGAAAUCCUGGAGCUCAACUCCAGAACUGCCCUUGAUACUGAGGAGCUCGAGUCCGGAAGAGGUGAGUGGAACUCCGAGUGUAGAGGUGAAAUUCGUAGAUAUUCGGAAGAACACCAGUGGCGAAGGCGGCUCACUGGUCCGGUACUGACGCUGAGGUGCGAAAGCGUGGGGAGCAAACAGG
rnacentral:rRNA from 1 species